CCGGCUCUUCGCCGUGGCCCCCAACCAGAACCUGAAGGAGCAGGGCCUGCGGGACAUCGCCAGCACGCCGCACGAGCUCUACCGCAACGACUACGCCACCAUGCUGCCCGACUCCACCGAGAUCGACCAGGACACCAUCAACCGCAUCAUCAAGGUCAUGAAACACGAAGCCUACGGAGAGGUGAGUGGCACUUCCCUUCCUGCCAGUGCUGGCCGGCAGCUGCCCCAGCAGAGAUGACCGCGCCAGGCUGCCGACUCGUGGCGCCUCCAAGCUGGAACAGAUGAGAGGAGAGGGAGUCACCUGCU
rnacentral:sRNA from 1 species